CCUACGGGGGGCAGCAGUGGGGAAUAUUGGACAAUGGGGGAAACCCUGAUCCAGCGACGCCGCGUGAGUGAAGAAGUAUUUCGGUACGUAAAGCUCUAUCAGCAGGAAAGAAAAUGACGGUACCUGACUAAGAAGCCCCGGCUAACUACGUGCCAGCAGCCGCGGUAAUACGUAGGGGGCAAGCGUUAUCCGGAUUUACUGGGUGUAAAGGGAGCGUAGACGGCAGCACAAGUCUGGAGUGAAAGGCGGGGGCCCAACCCCCGGACUGCUCUGGACACUGUGUAACUUGAGUGCAGGAGAGGUAAGCGGAAUUCCUAGUGUAGCGGUGAAAUGCGUAGAUAUUAGGAGGAACACCAGUGGCGAAGGCGGCUUACUGGACUGUAACUGACGUUGAGGCUCGAAAGCGUGGGGAGCAAACAGGAUUAGAUACCCGAGUAGUC
rnacentral:rRNA from 1 species